GAGUUGGCAAUAAUUAUAAAAAUAAUUUCUCGUUAUAACUUGCUUAAUUUGGACAUGACAAACCUUUAAUUACAACCAUUAAAUCUGAGCUCC
rnacentral:snoRNA from 1 species